UACGGGGGGAGCAAGCGUUGUUCGGAUUUACUGGGCGUAAAGGGCGCGUAGGCGGCGCAACAAGUCACUUGUGAAAUCUCCGGGCUUAACUCGGAGCGGUCAAGUGAUACUGUCGUGCUUGAGGACUGGAGAGGAGACUGGAAUUUACGGUGUAGCGGUGAAAUGCGUAGAUAUCGUAAGGAAGACCAGUGGCGAAGGCGGGUCUCUGGACAGUUCCUGACGCUGAGGCACGAAGGUCAGGGGAGCAAACGGG
rnacentral:rRNA from 1 species